rnacentral:rRNA from 1 species
UACGGAGGGUGCAAGCGUUAUCCGGAUUUACUGGGUUUAAAGGGUGCGUAGGUGGGUUGGUAAGUCAGUGGUGAAAUACUUUCGCUUAACGAAGGAACUGCCAUUGAUACUACCAGUCUUGAAUACAGUGGAGGUAGGCGGAAUGCGUCAUGUAGCGGUGAAAUGCUUAGAUAUGACGCAGAACACCAAUUGCGAAGGCAGCUUGCUACACUGUUAUUGACACUGAGGCACGAAAGCGUGGGGAGCGAACAGG